GUACUUUUUUAACAUAAUCGCCGCAGGGAGAGAGAUGACAGCGUCGAAGGGGCAACAUUCGAGAAGCGAUGGUGGUGGUGCACGUCAAGGCGGCGACGUUGGAGGAGCAGCAGUUCCUCUACCACUGCAUCUCCACUUCGGCCAUCGAUGAGGUGGCCGACGUCAUCCUGGGCAUCCACGCCCUGCAGUCUCACAUCCAAUCCCUCUCACUUCUCCUCCGGCAACGCCUGCUUUCCGACCCUUCAUUCUCAGACAGUUCUUCUGACCCAGCUCUUGCCCUGGAGAGAUCUUUAUCGGAAGCAGAGACUUAUGUUUCAAAGGAUCAAGUUGAGCACAACAGGUUCUUAUCACCUCAUGCCCUGCGCGCCCAUGUUAAGAACAUAGAGAAAGAAAUCAAGAUUGUUCAGUCAAAGGGUUUCCUUGAUUGUGAUCUACCACAGCCUCCUGGUAUCAUUUGUUGUUUCCAUGAUGCAUUUUUUUUUAAUCUUAAAAAAGUAUUGUUGUUAAUGGGUUUGUUGCACAAAAAGAGAAGAAUUUUUUUUUCCUUUCAUAAUCUGUUGAUAUGUUAUUUCUAUUUGGAUAAUUGGAUUCUUUAGAAAAUUAUGUACUAACAUUAUUAUAUUGUUACAAGCAUUGCCUAAUUUGGUAAACAUUAUGCUUGUGGGUUCACUUAAUGUCUCUGAUUGGUGCAAGCAGGUAAGCUAUAAUACUAGUUAGCAUUAUUUUCGGCUAAGGAACUUAUCACUUUGUUUUUAGUCAGCAGAGGUAGGUUUUAACUCACUUAAGCAUAGAUGUUAUGUUAUUGGAGUUGACCAUACACACUUUGAUCUAGCUACCCUUGUUAUAUUCUUUAGUUCUUUUCUCUAACCUUGAAAAAUAAACUAAGAUUAAUUUGGAGAACCUCAUUUUGAAGCCAUGCAUAGAGGUUUUAUUGUGAUGGUGAUGUUGAUAUUUCUAUCUCAAUUGUAAUUACUUUAAAGAGUUUUAUUAGGUCUUGUUGUAUCCAUUAAAUCUUCAACUCUACACAAUUAACGUAUCCGAUUGCAUAAUUUAUCGGUCAUUGAAAUACCCACCUAUAGAAAUGUAUACAUAAAUAACUCUAUUGAAAUACCUGCCUAUAGAAUUGUAUACAUAAAUAACUCAUAAAAUGUAAGCACCUUUUCUUCACAAAAUUUGUUUCCACUAGCCUUCUCAAAAUUCUUUGUAUGUUAAGCUUUCUCCUGAAACAACAUGCUUGGUACAAUUCAUGGUAUCACAAGGCACCUGCUACAGGAUCAGCAGCACUCCAUUUGUUCUGUAACUAAGUUUGUCCAAGGCAAGAUUAAGAAUAUUUGUUUCAACUUGAAUUCUGAUCCUAAUUGCACCUUUUUAGUUUCAACUGUUAUUAACAGAUUAGCGAUUUGGUUGGUUAGGAUUGAAAGAAGUGAAAGAUUCAUUAAGAUUCAUGAGUACAUAUGAUUUUCUUGGAAUUGUUUGAUUAAGUAUGAAAGCAUGUUGUAGUCUUUAGAAGUGAAAAUCCCGUGAUUGCUGUAGAGAGUCAAACAUUCUAUAUCGCAAAAAUAUAAAUGUUAUCAAAUGAUUCAUGCUAUCCAAAGAAGUUUUACACUUGCUAUCACUGAUGCAAUCCGAAACUAGCCUAAAGUAUUAGUUAAGUGCUGAAAGUACAAUGAUCCGAGAACAGUUGAACUUCGCAAUUUGAAGAAACUCCACAUCAGUAAUCCAAUUAUUGAGAUAGUUAGUUUCAGUUCUUGGUUAAUAUGAUCACCUUCCACAUUUAGAGUAGUUUUCUAAUCAAAUUUUAACACACCAUGCCAUUUGGGCAAAUGCCCAUACGUUUAGCUUACACAAAUAAAAUUUCAUCCACGAUUGUGCUUCGUUCUAAUUCUAAAGUUUAGCUCUUUCUUAACUUCUUUUGUGAUGUUUAGUUACUCAAAUUUUUACAAACAACUGUUAAUACAACGAACUAACCAUCUUCAUGCAAGUCUUGCUGAAUUUCUCCUUAAAAUCUUCACAAAUGCUCAAACUGGGCAACCUUAAUUUUCCAUGUCUCAGCUUUCUAACCUGAAUUUAGCAUAGUUUUCUUAUAUGUUGUUUCACACAGAUGUCGAAAAAGCUCACACUACCUGCUAACUAUUUGUGAUAUAUUUUAAUAUCAAACUAGAUUGUGAGGUUCAUCAGCAAAUGCAGCUAUGGUGGGCAGGGAAAGAACUUGUUAGAGGCAAAAGACUAUGCGACUAUAUCGGUACAAAUGAGAAAACAAAGAUUGUGAUCACAUUGAAACCAGCUUGUUGAAGACCUUUAAAGCUUUUCAUUGAGCCACACCAACCCCAACCCCAACCCCAACAUGCUAAAUUACUUGCAUCCUUAUAAUUAUAUAGUUCUUGCACAUUUUGUUUUCUUAUUCAUUUUACGAUAAAUUUCUCGGUGUAAAUCAGCCAUUUAAAUGUGCCGGUUGCGGAUUGUGGGGCAGACAGACGGAUCUUGCUUAGGGCCGUCCUGUAAAGCCCAGUUCAAAAAACAAAAAAAAUUAUUACCUAUCUAAAUUUUUUUAUUUAGCCCAUUAAAAUCCA